ACUCAAAUGAAUUGACGGGGACCCGCACAACCUGUGGAGCGUGUGGUUCAAUUCGAGACAAAACGAAGAACCUCACCAGGGUUUGACAUACUACCGUUUAUUUCCCAAGAAACUGGGAGAAAUCCGUAAGGAUGGUAGUACAGGUGCUGCAUGGCUGUCGUCAGCUCGUGCCGUGAGGUGUUCCCUUAAGUGGGGAAACGAGCGCAACCCCCGCCAAAUGUUAAAUUAUUCAUUUGGGACUAUCCUGUGUUUUACAUAGGGGGGAAGGAGGGGAAGACGUCAAGUCAGCACGGCCCUUAUACCCUGGGCCACACACACACUACAAUGGCGAAUAACAACGUGUCUGCAAGCUAGCAAUAGCAAGCUAAUCACUUAAAUUUCGCCUCAGUUCAGAUUGGGGUCUGAAACCCGACCCCAUGAAGCCGGAAUAGGUAGUAAUCGCGGAUCAGCAAGCCGCGGUGAAUACGUUCUCGGGUCUUGUACACACCGCCCGU
rnacentral:rRNA from 1 species